ACUCCAGUGGCCUAGUGGUUAGAGCAUCCGUCUCGGAUGCGGGAGGUCUUGGGUUCAAAUCCCGUCCGAGUA